rnacentral:lncRNA from 1 species
AACUUUGUUUUUUUCCUUUAGGUCCUUUCAGUAACUUCCUGAAGUCAAUGAGAGCACACCCUGCUCUGAUUGGUCUGAAGGAUUUCGCCUGGAGCUUUCUGUUCCACACUAUCUGUUUGUACUUCUUGGUUAAUUAACCAUCAUCCCAGUUCUCCUCCUCUGGGCAAAGGAGGGAAUUUUCGUCUCUCCGUGCAGGUGAAAUGUUCCCACAGCCUCAGAUCUGACAUGCAAGAGAGAAGUGGUGGACUAGACUGGUUGCUUCAUCCAAACUACAGUGACUUCCAUCUGGAGGAUGGUGAGGAGUAUGUCCCUAUACAGAACUGGUUUCUUAAUCGAUAAAUAAUUCAUGAAAAUGAGCAACCACUUUUCUGGAAGACAAAGGUAGGAUUCUCCUGUUUCUGUCUUCUUGGUGGACUUUGAGAUGC